rnacentral:other from 1 species
AAAAUCCUGAUGUGUACGUCCAAAUUACAUUUUGACCGAACACUAAAUUGAUAGGGAGCUCGCAAUCGUUUUUAUAUGGCAUACAUGCCCUUUUUUAAGGGACGUAUAAAGUAUAAAACAGAGCACCCACCUGCCAAGAGCGGGAUCAAAAGAACCAUUUGGACGGCACAAUUGGGAUUUUA